GUCUUUUUGAGUUAUUUUUAAAGUCUGACCUGCCCACUGAAUAUUUUUAAAUGGCCGCAGUAUUCUAACUGUGCAAAGGUAGCAUAAUCAUUAGUCUUUUAAUUGAAGGCUGGUAUGAACGGUUGGACGAAGUAUAAGCUGUUUCAUAUAAAAUUAUAUUAGAAUUUUAUAUUUUAGUUAAAAAGCUAAAAUAUUAUUAAAAGACGAGAAGACCCUAUAAAUCUUUAUAUUUAAUAUUAUUCAAAUUUUUUUGAUUAAUUUUAUUUUUAUAAUAUUAAAUAUUUUGUUGGGGUGAUAUUAAAAUUUAACAAACUUUUAAUUUUGAAUUAGAACAUUAAUUUAUGAAUAGUUGAUCCAUUAUUAAUGAUUAUAAGAUUAAGUUACUUUAGGGAUAACAGCGUAAUUUUUUUUGAGAGUUCAUAUCGACAAAAAAGUUUGCGACCUCGAUGUUGGAUUAAGAUAUAUAUUUAGGUGUAGCCGUUUAAAUAUUAAGUCUGUUCGACUUUUAAAUUCUUACAUGAUCUGAGUUCAAACCCGGAGAGUCCUACGU
rnacentral:rRNA from 1 species